rnacentral:rRNA from 1 species
GUGUCAGCAGCCGCGGUAAUACAGAGGUCUCGAGCGUUAGUCGGAUUCAUUGGGCUUAAAGCGUACGUAGGCGGAUAUGCAGGCGUCGUGUGAAAGCCCUCGGCUCAACCGAGGAAUUGCACGGCGAACCGCAUGUCUUGAGAUCGGUAGGGGCGGUCGGAACGAUAGGUGGAGUGGUGAAAUGCGUUGAUAUCUAUCGGAACGCCGAAGGUGAAAACAGGCCGCUGGGCCGAUUCUGACGCUGAGGUACGAAAGCGUGGGGAGCAAACGGGAUUAGAUACCCUCGUAGUCC